AUGGUAUGGUUCUGUGGAUGCUUUUGUGCCACGGCGCCAUGGUGGAUGCCCUUUUGCGCUGCUGGGUGGCACGACCCAUUAAAUCGCUAUGGAAGCACGUAUUUGUGGAGUGGUCUGCAUGCCGGCGUCGGGGAGGAUGACCUUGCAUGCCUAUUUCUCUGGAUUUGGGUGCUAGGUGUUCAGUUUAAGGGGCCAUGGUGCUUGGUGCUCAGUUUGCGCGUGUUUUGGAUAGAUUCUGAUGUCGAGGGGAACAUGUCGUUUUUUUGCUUUUUUGUCUGUGUGAUUGGUUAUGUUAUUUUUUUGGCAUGUCGCCGUGCUAUUUCCCUUGCUGACGCAAGAUGGACGAGGUUGUUCCAGUUUGUGGUCAUUGAAGUAGUGGAAAUCAUGCAAGGGGUGUUUUUUGGGCUAUCUAGAUAUAAGCUAAGUCCACAUGUGGUUGAUUGCUUGGAUGUGGAGUUUAAUUUGGGUAACGGCGUGGGGAAAUUACAUGUUCAGAAGCGGCCAUCAAGUUCCUGUGCAUGGGAUCAUUGGAGCACCUUACAAGCUAUUGUGAUGUAUUGGUGUUCUUGUGUUACUUUGGAUCUAGCAAGCAUUCUUAUUACCAGGGGUACUAACCUAGUCGGCCUGUAUUCCUCCGGGCUGGGUCAGUGGGCCCUCAUUCUUCUCAAGAUGGACUCCGGAAGCCGCACGAUGGAGAGGCUCUCGGGUCAACCAACCGAGCUCGCCGUGACCGUGCACGCGGGCCAGUCGAGGGGGAGCACGAGCACCGGCUGUCGCGUGGCCGUCGACGUGGUCCAGACCGAGGUCAUAGCACACGGCCACCUCAGCCAGCACGGGCUUUAG
rnacentral:rRNA from 1 species